GCCUUUAAGACGAGGAUAACAGUUGGAAACGACUGCUAAGACUGGAUAGGAGAUAGGAAGGCAUCUUCUUAUUUUUAAAAGACCUAGUAAUAGGUAUGCUUAAAGAGGAGCUUGCGUCACAUUAGUUAGUUGGUAGGGUAAAAGCCUACCAAGACUAUGAUGUGUAGCCGGGCUGAGAGGUCAAACGGCCACAUUGGGACUGAGACACGGCCCAAACUCCUACGGGAGGCAGCAGUAAGGAAUUUUCGGCAAUGGAGGAAACUCUGACCGAGCAACGCCGCGUGAACGAUGAAGUAUUUCGGUACGUAAAGUUCUUUUAUUAGGGAAGAAAAGAUGGUGGAAAAACCAUUAUGACGGUACCUAAUGAAUAAGCCCCGGCUAACUAUGUGCCAGCAGCCGCGGUAAUACAUAGGGGGCAAGCGUUAUCCGGAAUUAUUGGGCGUAAAGGGUGCGUAGGCGGUUAAAUAAGUUUAUGGUCUAAGUGCAAUGCUCAACGUUGUGAUGCUAUAAAAACUGUUUAGCUAGAGUUGGAUAGAGGCAAGUGGAAUUCCAUGUGUAGUGGUAAAAUGCGUAAAUAUAUGGAGGAACACCAGGAGCGAAGGCGGCUUGCUGGGUCUUAACUGACGCUGAGGCACGAAAGCGUGGGGAGCAAACAGGAUUAGAUACCCUGGUAGUCCACGCCCUAAACGAUGAGUACUAAACGUUGGGUAAAACCAGUGUUGAAGUUAACACAUUAAGUACUCCGCCUGAGUAGUACGUACGCAAGUAUGAAACUUAAAGGAAUUGACGGGACUCCGCACAAGCGGUGGAUCAUGUUGUUUAAUUCGAAGGUACCCGAAAAACCUCACCAGGUCUUGACAUGCUUUUGCAAAGCUGUAGAAAUACAGUGGAGGUUAUCAAUUGCACAGGUGGUGCAUGGUUGUCGUCAGCUCGUGUCGUGAGAUGUUGGGUUAAGUCCCGCAACGAGCGCAACUCUUGUUGUUAAUUGCCAGCAUGUAAUGAUGGGGACUUUAGCAAGACUGCCAGUGAUAAAUUGGAGGAAGGUGGGGACGACGUCAAAUCAUCAUGCCCCUUAUGACCUGGGCUACAAACGUGAUACAAUGGCUGUUACAAAGGGUAGCUAAAGCGCAAGCUUCUGGCGAAUCUCAAAAAAGCAGUCUCAGUUCGGAUUGAAGUCUGCAACUCGACUUCAUGAAGUUGGAAUCGCUAGUAAUCGCGAAUCAGCAUGUCGCGGUGAAUACGUUCUCGGGGUUUGUACACACCGCCCGUCAAACCACGAAAGUUGGCAAUACCCAAAACCGGUGGCCUAACUUGAGUAAUCAAGAGGGAGCCG
rnacentral:rRNA from 1 species